rnacentral:rRNA from 1 species
GUUGGCCUCUGAUGCUUAUUGCACCACAUGUGUUUUUCUUUGAAACAAACUUGCUUUGGCGGUGGGCCCAGCCUGCCGCCAGAGGUCUAAACUUACAACCAAUUUUUUAUCAACUUGUCACACCAGAUUAUUACUUAAUAGUCAAAACUUUCAACAACGGAUCUCUUGGUUCUCGCAUCGAUGAAGAACGCAGCGAAAUGCGAUACGUAAUAUGAAUUGCAGAUAUUCGUGAAUCAUCGAAUCUUUGAACGCACAUUGCGCCCUCUGGUAUUCCGGAGGGCAUGCCUGUUUGAGCGUCGUUUCUCCCUCAAACCGCUGGGUUUGGUGUUGAGCAAUACGACUUGGGUUUGCUUGAAAGACGGUAGUGGUAAGGCGGGAUCGCUUUGACAAUGGCUUAGGUCUAACCAAAAACAUUGCUUGCGGCGGUAACGUCCACCACGUAUAUCUUCAAACUUUGACCUCAAAUCAGGUAGGACUACCCGCUGAACUUAAGCAUAUCAAAAGGCGGAGGAA